AGCGAACGCUGGCGGCAGGCCUAACACAUGCAAGUCGAACGGGAAAGGGGCUUCGGCCCUGAGUAAAGUGGCGCACGGGUGAGUAACACGUGACUAACCUACCCUGGAGUGGGGAAUAACUUCGAGAAAUCGAGGCUAAUACCGCAUAACACCUACGGGUCAAAGGAGCAAUUCGCUUGAGGAGGGGGUCGCGGCCGAUUAGCUAGUUGGCGGGGUAACGGCCAACCAAGGCUCAGAUCGGUAGCCGGCCUGAGAGGGCGCACGGCCACACUGGAACUGAAACACGGUCCAGACUCCUACGGGAGGCAGCAGUGGGGAAUUUUGCGCAAUGGGGGAAACCCUGACGCAGCAACGCCGCGUGGAGGAUGAAGUCCCUUGGGACGUAAACUCCUUUCGACCGGGAAGAUAAUGACGGUACCGGAAGAAGAAGCACCGGCUAACUCUGUGCCAGCCGCCGCCGUAAGAC
rnacentral:rRNA from 1 species